rnacentral:rRNA from 1 species
GAUGAACGCUGGCGGCGUGCUUAACACAUGCAAGUCGAACGGAAAGGCCAGUGCUUGCACUGGUGCUCGAGUGGCGAACGGGUGAGUAACACGUGGGUGAUCUGCCCUGCACUUUGGGAUAAGCCUGGGAAACUGGGUCUAAUACCAGAUAGGACCAUGCUUUGGAUGGUGUGGUGGAAAGUUUUUUCGGUGUGGGAUGAGCUUGCGGCCUAUCAGCUUGUUGGUGGGGUAAUGGCCUACCAAGGCGUCGACGGGUAGCCGGCCUGAGAGGGUGUACGGCCACAUUGGGACUGAGAUACGGCACAGACGCCGACGGGAGGCAGCAGUGGGGAAUAUUGCACAAUGGGCGCAAGCCUGAUGCAGCGACGCCGCGUGGGGGAUGACGGCCUUCGGGUUGUAAACUCCUUUCGCAACUGACGAAGCUUUUUGUGACGGUAGGUUGAGAAGAAGCACCGGCUAACUACGUG